rnacentral:misc_RNA from 1 species
AACGCAAAUUGCGCUCGAGACUUCGGUCGAGAGCAUGCCUGCCUCAGUGUCGGUUUCACCCCCUCGCCCACACUUCCCAUCGGGAAGAACGGCGGACCUGGCUGUCCCGGUUCUAGCGACCGGGUCGGCUGAAGCGCAGAGGCUUGAGCGGGAUUCCCUUCAGACGUGGGAACAACAGACCGGUAGGUGAGCCCUUUUCGCGAGAAAAGGAUCGCAUGCCGCUGCUGGACCCCGGGACCCGCUGGACGCCCAGCAGGAGAAGGCGGAGCGUCGGCCAUCCGUGACCGGCAACCCCCUUCGUGACCAACCAUUCGACCUGAGUUCAGGCAAGGGCACCCGCUGAACUUAA